CCCCGAGCCGUGGCCAGCCGAGCGCUCCAACGCCGCCCGCGUACGAUUGACUGCCGCCGGCUGCUGUACUGCAUUUCUGCUGUUAAACCCUGUGCUUUUGGGGUGGGGGGCAUCGUGGACCGCCUCUGUCUUGUCACUGCUCGUCAAACUGCGGCCGAGCCAGCGGGUUUGGGGAGUGGUAAUGGUCUUGCUGCGGAGAAUUGGUUGGUGCCAGGUGAAGCGAAGCCCUGCCCUGGCUGGGUGGUGGCGGGGAGCUCCCCUCAGUGCCAUCGGGUGUCCUCGCAUCCCGCUGUCCCCUCUGAGCCCGCUUGCCUUGCUCUGAGCAAAGCACCCACUCCAGGAUUUCCCUGGUUUGGGGCCCAAGUGCUUUGCGGAACAGAAGAUGGGUUAAGUGCGUGCUUCCCUGCUGUCUCGGAUGGGAUUUAUAGGCUGCAGCUCCCGGCGACUGUGCCGGAGAGCAGGAAUGGGCCUUAUUUGGUUAAAGAGCGAGCGGAGCCGCUGCAGGGCUGCCAGGACACCCGCUGCAGGUCUGGGCAGGACGCAGCAGCCCCAGGUCAGGGACCAGCCUGCUGCUUCGGUCACCGAGCUCUGCCUGCGAGUUCGCUCACGUCCUUCACAUCCCAGCCAGACACCUGGCCGGGGCCACGCUCUCCUGGCAAACCAGCCAUAGGUACCGUGGCUUUGCUUUUGCCUGGUGUUGCUCUUCUUUAUGUAAUUUUUGUGAACAGCUGCAGCCCCACCUGGGUACCUCCGCAGCUGUGCCACACCAGGGCUAACGGGGCUCUGCUUCGUCUCCAAAUCACACUACCAGGAGCACCUGGCCCAAUGGUUGCAACCAGUGGCAGCUGUGAGGGUGUUGAGCAGCUCUUGGGUCUGUCUUUGUGCUCUGCUUUGUCUGAGUGCAGGCAAAACUCAGUUCUGCAGCUGCUUUGUGGUGCUGCUGAAGCAGCCUCUUGGGCAUUCAGUGCUCGGAUGCAGCGAGCUGGGUCCGUGGGCAUCGCUGCCCUGUGGCAGCGGGAGCCAGGGCCGGGCUUUUCCUGGGAAGAGCAGAAAAUGACCAAGCAGGGACUGGUGCAGGCGCCUGGCGAGCAGCUGAGCGUGGCAGGGAGAAGCUGUGUGGAUCCUUGUCCUAAGCACUGA
rnacentral:lncRNA from 1 species